AUGUAUAUUCCUACAACAUAUUGUUAAUGCACCGGGUCCCAUUAGAACUCCGCAGUUAAGCGUGCUCGGGCUAGAGUAGUAUUGAGAUGGUUGAUCGCCCUGGAAGUGCUUGUAUUUUACACG
rnacentral:rRNA from 1 species